UACAGAGGUCCCAAGCGUUGUUCGGAUUCACUGGGCGUAAAGGGUGCGUAGGCGGUCGGGUAAGUCUGAUGUGAAAUCUCACAGCUUAACUGUGAAACUGCAUUGGAUACUAUCCGGCUAGAGGAAUGGAGGGGAGACUGGAAUACUUGGUGCAGCAGUGAAAUGCGUAGAUAUCAAGUGGAACACCAGUGGCGAAGGCGAGUCUCUGGACAUUUCCUGACGCUGAGGCACGAAAGCCAGGGGAGCAAACGGG
rnacentral:rRNA from 1 species